rnacentral:lncRNA from 1 species
GUGACAUCAAUGCCUACAGUGUAACAAUGUCCUUUGUCUCUGACCCAGGCAUCUCUUGUCUUCUUCCAGAAACCAUGACACUAUGGCAGGCCAACUUACUAGCUUUCAAGUAAGGUAACAUCUCAGACCAUCAUAGGUUUUGACAGGGGAAACUCUGAAGGACCACAGGAGUUGGAGGUUCCACGUAUCUCUAAGUAGUAACAUACGAUGGGUCCAAAACAGAAGAAAGAGAACUCAAGAUUCCCGAGCCACAGAGCUGUUGAUUGGAGGCUGACUCAGAGAAACCCUGGAUUCAGUGACAUACAGAGACAACAGCUGUAUUUCCCCUUCCACCUGCAUCCCUGAAGUUCCUCCCACCUGAAAACUUCACCUGACCCAAGAAAGCAAAGGAAAAAACCCGGAGAGCCAGCUCAUAGUCUGGUUCACUGUUUAACAGCCAGAAGCCAGAGCCUGCGUACUAGAAGUGGAUGCCCAGGAAGUACUUGUGAGCUGACUAAGAAUGUAAGAACGCCACCCACUUCAUUCAGGAAAGUGAGGCAGGAUUCCAUGGAGUAUGAAUGACUGCACAUGGAACAAGCAGGUUAUCAUUUAUAUUCAGCAAGGGACCUCCAUGAACAGGACAUUUGGGGAGCUGCUAUCAAACAUCAGAACUUCUGACACUGUGCACACAGUCUUAUAUUGUGCCUUGUCUGUUGUGAUGUCUCACUACAGUAAUGAUUAAGAUGAUGAGCACUUAUGCGUUGAUAUUGCAAUAUGUCUGCG